GACGAACGCUGGCGGCGUGCCUAAUACAUGCAAGUUGAGCGCUGAAGGUUGGUACUUGUACCAACUGGAUGAGCAGCGAACGGGUGAGUAACGCGUGGGGAAUCUGCCUUUGAGCGGGGGACAACAUUUGGAAACGAAUGCUAAUACCGCAUAAAAACUUUAAACACAAGUUUUAAGUUUGAAAGAUGCAAUUGCCUCACUCAAAGAUGAUCCCGCGUUGUAUUAGCUAGGUGGUGAGGUAAAGGCCCACCAAGGCGAAGAUACAUAGCCGAGCUGAGAGGGUGAUCGGCCACAUUGGGACUGAGACACGGCCCAAGAUCCUACGGGAGGCAGCAGUAGGGAAUCUUCGGCAAUGGACGGAAGGCUGACCGAGCAACGCCGGGGGAGUGAAGAAAGUUUUCGGAUCGUAAAACUCUGUUGGUAGAGAAGAAAGUUGGUGAGAGUGGAAAGCUCAUCAAGUGACGGUAACUACACAGAAAGGGACGGCUAACUACGUG
rnacentral:rRNA from 1 species